rnacentral:antisense_RNA from 1 species
CCAAGGGCAGUCUACAUGCUCAGGACACCAAACGCCUGCCCACGAAGCACAACCCUCCAAGGACAGCCAACGGAAGGAAGCCAGAGGCCGGAGAGGGCGUCAGCAGGUGCACUGGGACGCUGGGCUCUGAUCACAGCCCCACAUGGCUCCUCCUCUGCAGGCUGGGCUGGGCUGGACCUGGUCACCUCAUGGCCUGCUGUUUUGGGAGCAGUUUGUUUUUACCACUUUGGACUGAGGCAAACCAUGUGCAGUAAAUAGCACAACCCUUAACUCUUCUGGUUCAGUGAGUCUUCUUUUUUGAGAUGGAGUCUCACUCUAUUGCCCAGGCUAGAGUGCAGUGGCACAAUUUCAGCUCACUGCAACCUCCGCCUCCUGGGUUCAAGCGAUUCUCCUGCCUCAGCCUCCCUAGUAGCUGGGACUACAGGCGCCCAUCACCACACCCAGCUAAUUUUUGUAUUUUUAGCAGAGACAAGGUUUCACCAUGCUGGCCAGGCUGGUCUCAAAACUCCUGACCUCAGGUGUUCUGUCCACCUCGGCGUCCCAAGUGCUGGGAUGACAGGCGUAAGCCACCGCUCCCGGCCCACACCCAGCUAAUUUUUAUAUUUUCAGUAGAGAUGGGGUUUUGUUAUGUUGGCCAGGCUGGUCUCGAACUCCUGGCCUCAAGUGAUCCACCCGCCUCAGCCUCCCAAAGUACUGGGAUUACAGACAUGAGCCACCACACCCAGCCAGCCCUAUCUCUUAGAAAAGAAAGAAAGAAAGAAAGAUUCUGUUUGUUUUUAUUUCUUCUGACCCGUAAGAUGUGAGAAAAGAUUCUGACCUCAUAAACAAGCCACCACCUUCUCACCAGAGUCAGGGCUUCUGGAAAUGUGAACAGCCCACAAGUUGUGAGCAAAAAGACUUUAAUGAAAAUGCUUUAAAAACUUAAGAGCCAGAUGCAGGGGUGUGCGUCUGUGACCCCAGCUACUUGGGAGGCUGAGGGAGCUCAUGUGAGCAAGAGGCUGAAAAACCCAAAAUUAAGAGUGAGAAGAGCAUGGAAGAGCAGCUUUCCAGCUGAGACGAUGAGCCCCCCCACUCAACUCGGACAGAAGAGUUAAGGGGAAACAGAUCUCAGAUAAGAAAACUAAGCAAAGACAUACAUAUGACAACCACAGAAAGCGGUCCCUGAGGGCUGGCUGGACUGAGAUGCCGGCAAAGUGGGCGAGAUGAGGGAGGCCUGGAGGCAGCAGCCGCAAUGCCUACCUCAGGGAUGAUUGCAGACAAGUCAGAACCCACACUAGGGGCCGGGCAUGCUGGCUCACGCCUGUAAUCCCAGCACUUUGAGAGGCCGAGGCGGGCGGAUCACCUGAGGUCAGGAGUUCGAGACCAGCCUGGCCAACAUGGUGAAACCCCGUCUCUACUAAAAAUACAAAAAUUAGCCGGGCAUGGUGGUGCGUGCCUACAAUCCCAGCUACUCGGGAGGCUGAGGCGGGAGAAUCGCUUGAGCCCGGGAAGCAGACGUUGCAAUGAGCCAAGAUCGCACCAUUGCACUCCAGCCUGGGGAACAAGAGCGAGACUUCGUCUCAAAAAAAAAGAACCCACACUAGGGAAAAGAACCCCGGAAAUGAGGGAGGUCACCAGAGUUCCAACAUCAAGUAUUCCUUGGAUUUUUGUUAAGCCAAGUCUACAUGCUGACACAUAAAUACUUUACCAUGGGACCCACCAAAUGCACUAGGGAAUGUAUGGAUAGGAAGACCAAUAUUGUUAAGAUGUCAAUACCACUGAAAG